GGGGAAACCCAGUGCAAUCCGUUGCACUAUCGUUAACUGAAUACAUAGGUUAACGAGGCGAACCGGGGGAACUGAAACAUCUAAGUACCCCGAGGAAAAGAAAUCAACCGAGAUUCCCCCAGUAGCGGCGAGCGAACGGGGAGCAGCCCGGAGUCUGAAUCAGCUUGUGUGUUAGUGGAACGGUCUGGAAAGUCCGACGGUACAGGGUGAUA
rnacentral:rRNA from 1 species